rnacentral:rRNA from 1 species
GAUGAACGCUGGCGGCGUGCCUAAUACAUGCAAGUCGAGCGAACGGACGAGAAGCUUGCUUCUCUGAUGUUAGCGGCGGACGGGUGAGUAACACGUGGAUAACCUACCUAUAAGACUGGGAUAACUUCGGGAAACCGGAGCUAAUACCGGAUAAUAUUUUGAACCGCAUGGUUCAAAAGUGAAAGACGGUCUGGCUGUAACUAAUAGAUGGAUCCGCGCUGCAUUAGCUAGUUGGUAAGGUAACGGCUUACCAAGGCAACGAUGCAUAGCCGACCUGAGAGGGUGAUCGGCCACACUGGAACUGAGACACGGUCCAGACUCCUACGGGAGGCAGCAGUAGGGAAUCUUCCGCAAUGGGCGAAAGCCUGACGGAGCAACGCCGCGUGAGUGAUGAAGGUCUUCGGAUCGUAAAACUCUGUUAUUAGGGAAGAACAUAUGUGUAAGUAACUGUGCACAUCUUGACGGUACCUAAUCAGAAAGCCACGGCUAACUACGUG